GCGGAUAUUCCUUCUAUGUUU
rnacentral:miRNA from 1 species